UGGCGGCGUGCCUAAUACAUGCAAGUCGAGCGGACAGAUGGGAGCUUGCUCCCUGAUGUUAGCGGCGGACGGGUGAGUAACACGUGGGUAACCUGCCUGUAAGACUGGGAUAACUCCGGGAAACCGGGGCUAAUACCGGAUGCUUGUUUGAACCGCAUGGUUCAAACAUAAAAGGUGGCUUCGGCUACCACUUACAGAUGGACCCGCGGCGCAUUAGCUAGUUGGUGAGGUAAUGGCUCACCAAGGCAACGAUGCGUAGCCGACCUGAGAGGGUGAUCGGCCACACUGGGACUGAGACACGGCCCAGACUCCUACGGGAGGCAGCAGUAGGGAAUCUUCCGCAAUGGACGAAAGUCUGACGGAGCAACGCCGCGUGAGUGAUGAAGGUUUUCGGAUCGUAAAGCUCUGUUGUUAGGGAAGAACAAGUACCGUUCGAAUAGGGCGGUACCUUGACGGUACCUAACCAGAAAGCCACGGCUAACUACGUGCCAGCAGCCGCGGUAAUACGUAGGUGGCAAGCGUUGUCCGGAAUUAUUGGGCGUAAAGGGCUCGCAGGCGGUUUCUUAAGUCUGAUGUGAAAGCCCCCGGCUCAACCGGGGAGGGUCAUUGGAAACUGGGGAACUUGAGUGCAGAAGAG
rnacentral:rRNA from 1 species